rnacentral:rRNA from 1 species
AUUGAACGCUGGCGGCAUGCCUAACACAUGCAAGUCGAGCGAGCGGCGGACGGGUGAGUAAUGUAUGGGGACUGCCCGAUAGAGGGGGAUAACUACUGGAAACGGUGGCUAAUACCGCAUACUAUCGGAUAACCCAUAUGGGAUUAGCUAGUAGGUGGGGUAAAGGCUCACCUAGGCGACGAUCUCUAGCUGGUCUGAGAGGAUGACCAGCCACACUGGGACUGAGACACGGCCCAGACUCCUACGGAGGCAGUAGUGGGGAAUAUUGCACAAUGGGCGAAAGCCUGAUGCAGCCAUGCCGCGUGUAUGAAGAAGGCCUUAGGGUUGUAAAGUACUUUCCGCGGGGAAGCGUUACCCGCAGAAGAAGCACCGGCUAACUCCGUGCCAGCAGCCGCGGUAAUUC